rnacentral:rRNA from 2 species
CCCUUCGGGGUACACGAGCGGCGAACGGGUGAGUAACACGUGGGUGAUCUGCCUCGCACUUCGGGAUAAGCCUGGGAAACUGGGUCUAAUACCGGAUAUGACCUGCUGUCGCAUGGCGGUGGGUGGAAAGAUUUAUCGGUGCGAGAUGGGCCCGCGGCCUAUCAGCUUGUUGGUGGGGUAAUGGCCUACCAAGGCGACGACGGGUAGCCGGCCUGAGAGGGCGACCGGCCACACUGGGACUGAGACACGGCCCAGACUCCUACGGGAGGCAGCAGUGGGGAAUAUUGCACAAUGGGCGAAAGCCUGAUGCAGCGACGCCGCGUGAGGGAUGACGGCCUUCGGGUUGUAAACCUCUUUCGACAGGGACGAAGCGCAAGUGACGGUACCUGUAGAAGAAGCACCGGCCAACUACGUGCCAGCAGCCGCGGUAAUACGUAGGGUGCGAGCGUUGUCCGGAAUUACUGGGCGUAAAGAGCUUGUAGGCGGUUUGUCGCGUCGUCCGUGAAAACUUGGGGCUCAACCCCAAGCUUGCGGGCGAUACGGGCAGACUUGAGUACUGCAGGGGAGACUGGAAUUCCUGGUGUAGCGGUGAAAUGCGCAGAUAUCAGGAGGAACACCGGUGGCGAAGGCGGGUCUCUGGGCAGUAACUGACGCUGAGAAGCGAAAGCGUGGGUAGCGAACAGGAUUAGAUACCCUGGUAGUCCACGCCGUAAACGGUGGGCGCUAGGUGUGGGUUUCCUUCCACGGGAUCCGUGCCGUAGCUAACGCAUUAAGCGCCCCGCCUGGGGAGUACGGCCGCAAGGCUAAAACUCAAAGGAAUUGACGGGGGCCCGCACAAGCGGCGGAGCAUGUGGAUUAAUUCGAUGCAACGCGAAGAACCUUACCUGGGUUUGACAUACACCGGAAACCUGCAGAGAUGUAGGCCCCCUUGUGGUCGGUGUACAGGUGGUGCAUGGCUGUCGUCAGCUCGUGUCGUGAGAUGUUGGGUUAAGUCCCGCAACGAGCGCAACCCUUGUCCUGUGUUGCCAGCGGAUUAUGCCGGGGACUCGCAGGAGACUGCCGGGGUCAACUCGGAGGAAGGUGGGGACGACGUCAAGUCAUCAUGCCCCUUAUGUCCAGGGCUUCACACAUGCUACAAUGGCCGGUACAGAGGGCUGCGAUACCGUGAGGUGGAGCGAAUCCCUUAAAGCCGGUCUCAGUUCGGAUCGGGGUCUGCAACUCGACCCCGUGAAGUUGGAGUCGCUAGUAAUCGCAGAUCAGCAACGCUGCGGUGAAUACGUUCCCGGGCCUUGUACACACCGCCCGUCACGUCAUGAAAGUCGGUAACACCCGAAGCCGGUGGCCUAACCCCUUGUGGGAGGGAGCCGUCG